UUGCUUAAGUAUUCAUUUUGGGGGUAUAGUUUUCCUUUAAUAAAAUUUCAACAUUGCACUAAUUUCACUGUGAAAUAAUCUGAUACACCCUGACACCCACACUUUAUCUGAACUUUCAAUUGAACAACGUAUCUGGCUCAAUAUCUGUGGCUUCCUCUAUUAACUUUCUAACAGGGCUUAGGACAAAGAUGUUGUCCUACACAAGUUUUUCAUCCGAGUGCCCUGGGAACACAUUAUCAUCUACUACAUUCAAAAGAUUGACUGGGUCUGAGGCUCCUUCUCCAUAGCUGCUCUGUGGCAAGUCUUCGCAUAAGGAGAGAAGCAGGUUCCCUAUAUAUUGCACCAAGUGUUUCCCUGUGAAGAAAAUAGAAGGUUCUACACUGCAGAGAUGGUGAUAGCCCUACAGUUCCUGCACUCCAAUGGCGUCAUUCAUCGAGAUCUCAAGCCUGAAAACAUCUUGGUUGGUAAUGAUGGUCACAUCAAGAUCUGUGAUUUUGGCCUCGCUGUUGAGGGAGUCUUUGGCGGAAAGAAGAUUAGUGGAUUGACAGGAACACCUGGAUACUGUGCACCGGAGAUUAGAAUUUUUUUAAUGUAAUUUAUACACAGAGGCAUUUAGAUCAAUUUGUCAUUUUCUUCUUUUGACAUUUUGUAAUUUUGCUGUGUCUAGUAGAACAUUUUUAUUAUAUUAACAAGAAAGGGAACAAGUGCCCAGAGCAGAUAGACUGUACAAUGGGCCAGUAACCUUUGUUUUUUGUAUGUUCCCUAUGUUACUGGCUCUCAUUUAGCUUCAAAAAAAAUUAUUUUAUAUAUAACUGUGCAAGAGAUAAUUAGUUCUCUUUUUUUCUUAAAGGGAUACUGUCAUUGGAAAAAAUAAUUUUUUCAAAAUGAAUCAGUUAAUAGUGCU